CAGUCGCCACGGUAAUACGAAGGGGGCUAGCGCUGUUCGGAUUUACUGGGCGUAAAGGGUGCGUAGGCGGACUGAUAAGUCAGGGGUGAAAUCCCAAGGCUCAACCUUGGAACUGCCUUUGAUACUGUUAGUCUUGAGUUCGAGAGAGGUGAGUGGAACCGCGAGUGUAGAGGUGAAAUUCGUAGAUAUUCGCAAGAACACCAGUGGCGAAGGCGGCUCACUGGCUCGAAACUGACGCUGAGGCACGAAAGCUAGGGGAGCAAACAGGAUUAGAUACCCCUGUAGUCCCUGUCUCUUAUAC
rnacentral:rRNA from 1 species